rnacentral:lncRNA from 1 species
GCAUUAUUUUGCAAAUAUUAAAGCAAUGUUCUUAAUUUCUACCCCUUUUAAGUCCUUGCAGCUUUUCCUCAUCAGUUGAAGCCUUGAGGUUUAUUGCUCUAGAGAAAGAAAGAGACUAGAAUAAAGAUACUAUUGAUUAGCUCUGAUUCUCAGAGCUGACCUCUUUAUGGAGACAGUGCACUUGGAAGCUAGGCUGUCAGGAGAGAGAGAUAUUUAGAUCACAAAACCCCACUUUAAGCCUGUGGACAGGUAAGGCUGGCACUGCAGAUCACAAAGCCCACAGUAUGACAGAAAGGAAGUGGAAAUCCUGCCCUUCCAUUCUGGGUGAAGAGAAGCUGUAAAAAAUGAGACAUAUGCGUUCUGCUCUCCUGCCUCUCCAUAGGGGAAGUGUGUUAGAUUUAGGGGGAUGCCUAAUCCACAUAGGAGAGGUGUGGUAGCAAUAGCGUAAAAGUUGAGCACAAAGUGUGAUUAGAUAUGACAAGGGUCUUAGUUGAGUUCUAAUAUAGCCUUGCCCACUUGACCCCAAGAUGGCACACAGAAGUCAGUUCAUAACAGGACUUGGGUCUCCGGAAACUGAGUGUGGUAUCCGUAUGGUGAGGACAAAUUGUCCAAGGACUGAAUGGAUGUCAUAGACAUCUUAGAGCCAAUAACCAAAGAGAACCACUUGGCCUUGAUCCUACAUUUAUAGACAAUAGACAACAACCUCAGCUUCUAAGGAUGAGGCAAGCAAUAGUCAUAGUAAAACAAGAGGCAUUUCCAUAAGGACCAAGGAAUCAUCCACAGCCUUGAAAAUAAAUCUGAGGGAGUGUCCCUUUCCCUUUACCACAGGAUCUCCCUCUCAAUAAACCCAGAUUCCAUGUCGGAGAGAAGCAGGUUGAGAAGAAGAAAACCAAAAUACUGGGAUUUAGACCAAAAAACAGGCAAGAAAUACUUGGAGAUUACUCGUCAAGCCUGUGUGCUCUCAUCAGCUCCUUCCCCUCCCAACCUGACCAGGAGUGCCUUUUAUAGUCCUCUGGAAGAAUUGGCUAAGAAGACAGCUGCUUCCUCAAGGGAGGAUGCCACCGCUUCUGUGAGUCAGUCAAUCAGUCUAGAUAUUGUCCUGGCCCAAAUUUUCUGCUGGACCACACAGGAAGCAAGUAGUAGGGGUUGCAACUCACCUCCUGCUUUCUCUGAAUCCUUUGCAUAUCAAACACCUGCUGGUAUUCCUAGAAACCACCUAUUUAAUAGGCAAGCAAAGCACAAUUGUCAGCUUGAUUAAAGUGCCUAAUGGAAAUAAUCAUAGUGCUUGUAGUGCUUGAUAUCUGCAUGGAAC